ensembl:snoRNA
GGCAGGUUAGACAGGUGCAAAAAUAAAUCCUGUUUUGCAACCCAGAACUCAUUGUUCAGUAAGAGAUUUGAUACAUACAAGAAGGAAAAUA